rnacentral:rRNA from 1 species
GACAGAGGGGGCAAGCGUUGUUCGGAAUUACUGGGCGUAAAGGGCUCGUAGGCGGCCAACUAAGUCGGACGUGAAAUCCCCAGGCUCAACCUGGGAACUGCGUCCGAUACUGGAUGGCUUGAAUUCGGGAGAGGGAUGCAGAAUUCCAGGUGUAGCGGUGAAAUGCGUAGAUAUCUGGAGGAAUACCGGUGGCGAAGGCGGCAUCCUGGACCGGCAUUGACGCUGAGACACGAAAGCCAGGGGAGCAAACGGG